rnacentral:hammerhead_ribozyme from 1 species
ACCCUGCUGACGAGUCCCAAAGAGGACGAAACGCCCGUCCCAGAU